rnacentral:rRNA from 1 species
AUUGAACGCUGGCGGCAGGCCUAACACAUGCAAGUCGAACGAGUGGCGGACGGGUGAGUAAUGUCUGGGAAACUGCCCGAUGGAGGGGGAUAACUACUGGAAACGGUAGCUAAUACCGCAUACCAUCGGAUGUGCCCAGAUGGGCUUAGCUAGUAGGUGGGGUAAUGGCUCACCUAGGCGACGAUCCCUAGCUGGUCUGAGAGGAUGACAGGCCACACUGGAACGGAGACACGGUCCAGACCCCAAGGGGAGGCAGCGGUGGGGAAUAUGGCACAAUGGGGGAAAGCCUGAUGCAGCCAUGCGGGGUGUAUGAAGAAGGCCUUCGGGUUGUAAAGUACUUUCAGCGAGGAGGCGUUACUCGCAGAAGAAGCACCGGCUAACUCCGUGCCAGCAGCCGCGGUAUAC